rnacentral:rRNA from 1 species
AUAGUGCUGGUUGGGGACUGAUAGGGCUGGAGCGCAGCACCCUGGGUAGGAGAAGGAACCAUAACGUUGUGGUAGCCACUAGUUCCCAUCCGAGAAAGGGACCAUAGCAACGGCCCUCCAUUCUUUCUACGUCAUCAUUGUGAUGUUUCCGGAGCAAUGAAGCGGUUCCGCAGCAAUUUCAGUGAAAGCUGAGCGGGAUUCGUGAAGCGGGAAGGCUGUGGCUGCAUUUUCUCCAGGAUACCGGGAACUUUUCUGCAAGACCCUGGAGCGUCUGACUUCAUCUUGCCCCUCGUCAUUUUUCUGAGCAGGAACCGGGAAGGGACUGACUGCCGAGCUGCAAGAGCAGCAACAAUCCGUCUGCCCAUGGCUGGCAGAGUACACAGUUUGCAUUUUCUUCGGGAUACCUCGAACGUUCCUGCAAGACACCAGACGAGGAGCGGACACUUACAAAUACUUUAAAAAUCAUGUUCAGCUUCGGUCUGGCGGGAGAGACAGGGACACAGUGGUGUGGGUCUGGAGGGAGGGAUAGGGACACAUUGGUGUGGUUCUGGGGGGAGGGAUAGGGACAGCAGUGUGGGGAGGGAGGGAGAUAUAGAGACACAGUGGUGUGGGUCUGGAGGGAGGAAUAGGGACACAGUGGUGUAAGUCUGGAGGGAGGGUUGGGGCACAGUGUUGUGGGUCUGGAGGGAGAAAUGGAGCCACAUUGGUGUGGGUUUGAUGGGAGGGAUGGGGGACAUGGACUGUGCCUGGGAGGGAUGGUUCGUCCAGGUGUGGGUCUCGAGGCCAGGAUGGGACAUCUUGCCUUAUGGAGGGAUGGUGGCAUCUUGUGGGGUCUGGAAUGGAUGGGGGCACAUUGGUGUUGGUCUGCAGGAAGGAAUGGGACAUCCUGGUUUGGGUUGGAUAGGAACAUUGGUGUGGGUCUGUAGGGAGGGUAUGGGGGCACAUUGGUGUGGGUUUGAUGGGAGGGACAGGCACAUUGCUCUGAUGGUGGCAUCUUGGUUGGGGUCUGCAAUGGAUGGGGGCACAUUGGUGUUGGUCUGGAACAGGCAAGGGGCAUCUGUGGUCUGGAGGGUGAAAUGGGGCAUCCUUGUGUAGGUGGGAUGCAGCAUCUUGGUGUGGCUCUGGAGGGAGGGAUGGGGCAUAUUGGUGUUGUUCUGAGAGGGAGGGAUGGGGCACAACAAUGCCUGCUCUGGCAGGGAGAUGGAGCAUGAGCGUCUGUGAUAGGACCCGAAAGAUGGUGAACUAGGCCUGGUGGAGGUCCGUAGCAGUCCUGAUGUGUAAAUCGAUCGUCUGACCUGGGUAUAGGGGCGAAGAAGACUAAUCGAACCAUCUACUAGCUGGUUCCCUCCAGAGUUUCCCUCAGGAUAGCUGGCACACAGAACCCCCCCAGUUUUAUCUGGUAAAGCGAAUGAUUAGAGGUAUUGGGGCCUCUCAACCUAUUCUGUAACUUUAAAUGGGUAAGAAGCCUGACUCGCUGGCGUGGAGCUGGGCAUUGAAUGCAAGUGCUCAGUGGCCAACUUUUGUUAAGCAGAGCUGGUGCUGCGAGAUGAACCAAAUGCUGGUUUAAGGCGCCCAAUGCCGACGCUCAUGAGACCCCACAAAGGUGUUGGUUGAUAUAGACAGCAGGACAGUGGCCGUGGAAGUUGGAAUCCACUAAAGCGCCCCAGGCAUGGGUCUCUUCUUUGUGAAGGGCAGGGCACCCUGGAAUAGGUUCGCCGUGAGAGAGGGGCCGAGCCUUGAAAGCGUUGCGUUUCCAGCGGCAUGCAGUGAGCUCUUGCUGGUCCUUGGAAAUCCGGGGGAGAUGGUGUAAAUCUCACGCCAGGCCGUACCCAUAUCCACAGCAGGUCGCCAAGGUGAACAGCCUCUGGCAUGUUGGAACAAUGUAGGUAAGGGAAGUCUGCUAGUCAGUCCGUAUUUUCGGUAUAAGGAUUGGCUGUAAGGGCUGGGUUGGUCGGGCUGGGGUGCAAAGCGGGGCUGGGCGUGCACUGCAGCUGGACGAGGUGUCUCAUCCCCCGGGGGCAGCGUCGACUCUGGAUACGGACCGAGCCGUGCCUGUGGAUCGCCCCAGAUGUGGUGGUCGCCUCUCCAUUCCCCUCCUGGGGUUCAGGGCCGACGUUCUGCCUCGACCGAUGCCUAGCAGCUGACUUAGAACUGGUGCGGACCAGGGGAAUCUGACUGUUUAAUUAAAACAAAGCAUCGCGAAGGCCUGCGGUGGGUGUUGACGCGAUGUGAUUUCUGCCCAGUGCUCUGAAUGUCAAAUUGAAGAAAUUCAAUGAAGCGCGGGUAAACCACAGGAGUAACUAUGACUCCCUUAAGGUAGCCAAAUGCCUCAUCAUCUAAUUAGUGACGCGCAUGAAUGGAUGACCGAGAUUCCCACUGUCCCUACCUACUAUCUAGCGAAACCACAGCCAAAGGAACAGGCUUGGCAGAAUCAGCGGGGAAAGAAUUCACAUGUGCGCUUGCCUCUCGUCUGGCACUGUAAAGAGACAUGAGGAUAAGUGGGAGGCCCCUGGGCAGCCAGUGAAAUACCACUAUUAUCGUUUUUUCACUUACCCGGUGAGGUGGGGGACGAGCCCUGUGGGCUCUCACUUCUGGCGCCCGCUGUGCGCAACCUGCUCCGGGGACGGUGGCAGGUGGGGAGUUUGACUGGGCGGCACACCUGUCAAACGAUAACACAGGUGUCCUAAGGUGAGCUCAGGAAGGACAGAAACCUCCGGAGCAGAAGGGCAAAAGCUCGCCUGAUCUCGAUUUUUCAGUAUGAUUACAGUUCGUGAAAGCGGGGCCUCACGAUCCUUCUGACAUUUUGAGUUUCAAGCAGGAGGUGUCAGAAAAGUUACCACAGGGAGAACUGGCUUGUGGCGGCCAAGCAAUCAUAGCAACGUCACUUUUUGAUCCUUCGAUGUCGGCUCUUCCUAUCAUUGUGAAGCAGAAUUCACCAAUUGUUGGAUUGGUCACCCACUAAUAGGGAACGUGAAGUGGGUUUAGACCGUCGUGAGAUAGAUUCGUUUUACCCUACUGAUGAUGUGUUGUUGCAAUAGUAAUCCUGCUCAGUACAAGAGUAAACGCAGGUUCAGACAUUUGGUGUAUGUGCUUGGCUUGGAGCCAAUGGGGCAAACCUACCAUCUGUGGGAUUAUGACUGAACGCCUCUAAGUCAGAAUUCCCCCAACCCCAACUGUAACGAUACUGCAGCGCUGUCAACCUCAGUUGGCCUAGGAUUGCCGGCCUCUGGGCCGGUGCGUAUAGUCGCUCGCCUCGGGACUCGAGUGUGGACAGAAGGGGCCACCUCUCUCACUCGUAGUAUACCGCAUGUCGUGGGGAACCUGGUGCUAAAUCAUUCAUAGAUGACCUGAUUCUGGUUCAGGGUUUCGUAAGUAGCAGAGCAGCUACCUCGCUGCGAUCUAUUGAAAGUCAUCCUCUGAUAUGAUAUGGCAUUUAUAAU